ACAGCUCUUAGAGGAGUUGCAGGUAUGGCUGCUGUGUCACAUGCACACCAGUAGGUGGCAGAGAGGAGAGAGGUUAUGUCUACCCACAAUGUUCUGACCUAGAAAUAUCUGAAUGAUUAGUAGCCUAACAUU